rnacentral:rRNA from 1 species
ACUCAAAUGAAUUGACGGGGACCCGCACAAGCGGUGGAGCGCGUGGUUUAAUUCGUUAAUAACCGAAGAACCUUACCAAGGCUUGACAUGUCUGGAAUCUUAGUGAAAGCUAGGAGUGCCGCAAGGAGCCAGAACACAGGUGCUGCAUGGCUGUCGUCAGCUCGUGUCGUGAGAUGUUGGGUUAAGUCCCUCAACGAGCGCAACCCUCGUCACUAGUUGUAUUUCUAGUGAUACUGCCACGCCAAAACGUGGAGGAAGGUGGGGAUGACGUCUAGUCCGCAUUGUCCUUACGCCUUGGGCCACACACACGCUACAAUGGCAUAGACAAUGAGUUGCGAAACCGCAAGGUGGAGCUAAUCUCCAAACUAUGUCCCAGUUCGGAUUGUCGGCUGAAAUUCGCCGGCAUGAAGUUGGAAUCGCUAGUAACCGUGUGUCAGCAUGGCACGGUGAAUACGUUCUCGGGUCUUGUACACACCGCCCGU